AUGGCUCAUAACAAAUCUCCAGGCCCAGAUGGCUUUACAACUGAAUUCUAUCAACACUUCUGGGACCUGAUUAAAGAUGACCUCAAACUUAUGUUUGAUGAGUUAUAUAAUGGGACGCUUGAUAUCAAGAGACUGAAUUAUGGUAUUAUUACUUUGAUACCAAAAACUAAAGAAGCUAAUCAAAUCCAAAAAUUUAGGCGUAUAUGCCUGUUAAAUGUUAGUUUUAAAAUUUUCACCAAAGUCUUGAUGAAUAGACUUAAUAUUGUGGCUAGAUUUGUUAUUUCCCCAAUACAGAUAGUUUUUGUCAAAGGGAGAUACAUUAUGGAGGGGGUGUUAGUACUGCAUGAAGCACUAAAAAGUGUACAUGUUGAAAAACAGAGUGCUCUAUUGUUGAAAGUGGAUUUUGAAAAAGCAUAUGACAAAGUUAAAUGGCCCUUUGUGAUGCAAAUGCUAAAAAGAAAAGGAUUCCCUGAUAAAUGGAUAGAUUGGGUGAUGAGUACUAUUAGAGGGGGAAGUGUAUGUAUCAAGGUCAAUGAGAAUUAUGGACCAUACUUUCAGACACACAAAGGUUUGAGACACGGGGAUUCUUGUUGGAAAUAUGCCCUAGAGGAAAUAAUAAAAUGGUUAUUAUUAUAUUUCCUUGUUCAUGAUAAUUGUCUAUUGUUCAUGCUAUAA
rnacentral:rRNA from 1 species